AAUCAUUUUAUAAAAAUAUUUAUUUUUAUAAUAUUUAAUUUAACUUUUAUAUUAACUGUAAGGGACUAAUUACUUAUUUUAAAGAAAUAUAAAUUUCCUUUAGUAUCAGGAAUUUUCUAUUUUAUUUACAUAUUUAAUUUUCCUGAAAAAAGGUCAUCUACAAGUCUAUUUUAAUAUUGUAGCAAAAAUUUUAUUAAUAGACUGGUUGAAAUUAUACUUUAUUCGAACCUUUUGAUAUCCGGUCUCUUUUUAAUCUUAGCAAAUAUUUAUAUUUAAAAAGAUAAUUUUUUAAAUAUAUUUUUCUAAUAUACUCUUUAUAUAAGGAACAAAAGUUUCCAUAAAGUUUCAUAACUAAAUUUUUAUUUUCUAAUAAUUUUAAUAUAAAGAUUCAUCCCUAUAAUAUAAAUAAUGAUAAUAUUAGUAGAAUUCAAUUAGAAUUAAUUUAUUAACUAGGCAAUAAUUUGAAUGACUGUUUACCAAAAACAUUUCUUACUGAACUAAUUGUAAGUAACACCUGCUCAAUGAAAUUUUAAUAGCCGCGGAAAUUUAACCGUGCUAAGGUAGCAUAAUCAUUAGCCUCUUAAUUAGAGGCUUGUAUGAAUGGUGAAACAUUUCAAAUUCUUUAUUAAUUAAUUUAUUUAAACUUAAACUAAGAAUAAAAAUGUUCUUAUUUUAUAAAUAGACGAUAAGACCCUAUUGAACUUUACUUUUGUUUAGCUGGGGCAGCUAUAUAAAAAUAAUUUUAAUAUUUUAUAAAUAUAUAAAAGACCCAAUAAAAUUGAUUUUAUGAACAAGUUACCAUAGGGAUAACAGCGUAAUAUUUUUUUAAAGCUCUUAUUUAAAACGAUGUUUACGACCUCGAUGUUGAAUUAAUGUAACUUUAUAGAUGCAGUAAUCUUAAAAGUUGGUCUGUUCGACCAUUAAAACAUUACAUGAUUUGAGUUCAAAUCGGUGUAAACCAGAUUGGUUUCUAUCUUUUGUUAUUUUUAUUUAGUACGAAAGGACCAAUAAAUUUAUUUUUAAU
rnacentral:rRNA from 1 species